CCUCAGAUGCUGGGAGAGGGGAAGGAGGGCGAAGCCACCAGACUUGGCGUCAGGAGAGGAAAAGCUCUUUGGCUUCUGAAAGCAUCGAGAGAGGGCUGCAGCUGCGCUGUCUAGAACUGGGCAAAGCUGGUGAGAAGAUGCGCAACGAGCAGCAAGUCAGAGUGGUGAAUUCAAUUCAAAGGGAGGGACCUGGCCGGCUGUGUGUCAGCUUUAAACACUCAUUAAGACACAAGUUGCUAAAUGUCCAGUCCUUCCUUUGAGUCCUGCUCAGCUCUUGGCUUCAGUGAUGUCCUGUGGCAAUGAGUUCCCCUGACUAAGCAGGUACUGCCUGGGAAAGAAUAUUCUGCUGUGUCACUUUUAAGUAUCCUGCUUUUGAAUGUCA